rnacentral:tRNA from 1 species
AAAAAGAUAAGCUAAGUUAAGCUAUUAGGUUCAUACCCUAAAGAUAGAAGUGACCUUCUUCUUUUUA